AAUUUUAAAAAAUCAAGCGAAGUGAAACAUCUCAGUAACUUGAUACUAAAAAUCAAACGAGAUAAAAAGAGUAGUGGCGAGCGAAAUUUUUAAUUAGAAUUUUCUGAUUUUUUUUUGAAAUCCAAAGAGGGUAAUAAAAGUCCGUGUAAACUUAAAAAUCAAAAAAUUAAUAUAAGUACAACGAACUACGUGUUUGUUUGUUGGAAAAUUGGGGGACCUUCCUCAAAAUCUAAAGUUUUUUUUGCAUCGAAAGUGAAUUAGUACUGUGAAGG
rnacentral:rRNA from 1 species